rnacentral:rRNA from 1 species
UACAGAGGGGGCGAGCGUUAUUCGGAAUUAUUGGGCGUAAAGGGCGCGUAGGCGGCUUUUCAAGUGACGGGUGAAAUCCCCUCGGCUUAACCGAGGAACUGCCUGUCAGACUGGAAGGCUUGAGACCGGGAGAGGUGAGUGGAAUUCCCAGUGUAGCGGUGAAAUGCGUAGAUAUUGGGAGGAACACCAGUGGCGAAGGCGGCUCACUGGACCGGAACUGACGCUGAGGCGCGAAAGCGUGGGGAGCAAACAGG